UGCAUAUCAAUAAGCGGAGGAAAAGAAACUAACAAGGAUUCCCCUAGUAACUGCGAGUGAAGCGGGAAGAGCUCAAAUUUAAAAUCUGGUGGUCCUUGGCCGUCCGAGUUGUAAUUUAGAGAAGCGUCUUCCGCGUCAGACCGUGCACAAGUCUCCUGGAAUGGAGCGUCAUAGAGGGUGAGAAUCCCGUCUUUGGCACGGACACCUGGUGCUUCUGUGAUGCGCUCUCGAAGAGUCGAGUUGUUUGGGAAUGCAGCUCAAAAUGGGUGGUGAACUCCAUCUAAAGCUAAAUAUUGGCGAGAGACCGAUAGCGAACAAGUACCGUGAGGGAAAGAUGAAAAGCACUUUGGAAAGAGAGUGAAACAGUACGUGAAAUUGUUGAAAGGGAAACGCUUGAAGUCAGUCGCGUCGACCGAGACUCAGCCUUGCCUUGGCUUGGUGUACUUCUCGGGCUGACGGGUCAGCAUCGAUUUUGUCCCUCAGAUAAUGGCAAGGGAAAGGUGGCACCUUUGCGGGUGUGUUAUAGUCUCCUGUCGAAUGUGAGGGGUGGGAUCGAGGAACUCAGCACGCGCCUCUGGUGUCGGGGCUUCGGCUCACGAAACGUGCUUAGGAUGCUGGCGUAAUGGCUUUAAACGACCCGUCUGA
rnacentral:rRNA from 1 species